rnacentral:rRNA from 1 species
CCUACGGGAGGCAGCAGUAGGAAAUCUUUCACAAUGGGCGAAAGCCUGAUGGAGCAACGCCGCGUGCAGGAUGAAGGCCUUCGGGUUGUAAACUGCUUUUAUAAGCGAGAAAUAUGAUGGUAACUUAUGAAUAAGGAUCGGCUAACUACGUGCCAGCAGCCGCGGUCAUACGUAGGAUCCGAGCAUUAUCCGGGGUGACUGGGUGUAAAGAGUUGCGUAGGUGGCAUAAUAAGUAGCUAGUGAAAUCGGGUGGCUCAACCAUUCAGACUAUUAGCUAAACUGUUAAGCUCGAGACCGUUAGGGGUAACUGGAAUUUCUAGUGUAGGAGUGAAAUCCGUAGAUAUUAGAAAGAACACCGAUAGCGUAGGCAGGUUACUGGGACGGUUCUGACACUAAGGCACGAAAGCGUAGGGAGCAAACGGGAUUAGAUACCCGGGUAGUC